rnacentral:rRNA from 1 species
ACACGACUACAUUAGAUACCCCCGUAGUCCAGGGUGUAAACGAUACUCGCUAGGUGUCGGCCACGGUGCGACCGUUGUCGGUGCCGUAGGGAAGCCGUGAAGCGAGCCACCUGGGAAGUACGGCCGCAAGGCUGAAACUUAAAGGAAUUGGCGGGGGAGCACCACAACGGGUGGAGCUUGCGGUUUAAUUGGAUUCAACGCCGGAAAUCUUACCGGGACCGACAGCAACAUGAAGGCCAGGCUGAAGACUUUGCCGGAUUAGCUG